AGCGUAGACGGUGUGGCAAGUCUGAUGUGAAAGGCAUGGGCUCAACCUGUGGACUGCAUUGGAAACUGUCAUACUUGAGUGCCGGAGGGGUAAGCGGAAUUCCUAGUGUAGCGGUGAAAUGCGUAGAUAUUAGGAGGAGCACCAGUGGCGAAGGCGGCUUACUGGACGGUAACUGACGUUGAGGCUGAAAGCGUGGGGAGCAAACA
rnacentral:rRNA from 1 species